rnacentral:lncRNA from 1 species
UCCUAUUGUGGUAAUACCCUACGUCCUACUUGAUUGUACUGAUGAAGAUGAUUACAGAGUAGAUCUACCUCGUGAUCACAUAUGCUAAACCCUAGGUGAUUCAACAUCCUCUACACGAAUAAGAGUCCGUGGUUUAUAUUGACACCACAGUCCCUAGGAUUUAAAAGUUACCGACUAUAAUCGAAGAUAGAUGAGCCAACGUAUUCUUCCUAAGCUUGAAGUACACGCCAAUAUUCGGGAUAUUCCUUCUAGAGUAGAGGUCCUCAUCAGGCCCAGUCUUCUUCAGUGUGGCCCAAUGGGCUCACCCAAUAUUGACUAACCUGCCGCCCGAGGACCCCAGAAUCCCGGAGUC